GACGAACGCUGGCGGCGUGCUUAACACAUGCAAGUCGAACGGAAAGGCCCUGCUUUUUUUUGUUUCUCGUUUGGCGAUCGUGUGUGUAACACUUGAGUAACCUGCCCUUGACUUUGUUAUAACUUCAUGAAACUGGUUCUAAUACCGUAUAUGAGCUCCUGCUGCAUGGUUGUGGUUGGAUAGUUUCGUCGGUUGGGGAUGUACUCGCGGCUUAUCAGCUUGUUGGUGGGGUAGUGGCUUACCAAGGCUUUGCCGGGUAGCCGGCCUGAGAGGGUGACCGGCGACAAUGGGACGGAGAUACGGCGCAGAGUGGAACGGGAGGCAGCAGUGGGGAAUAUAGCAAAAUGGGCGGAAGCAUGAUGAAGAAAAGGAGCGAGCGGGAUGAAGGCAUUCGGGUUGUAAAAAGAUUUAGGAGGUGAAGAAGAGAGAGUGACGGUAAUGGGUAAAGAAGCAACGGCUAACUACGUG
rnacentral:rRNA from 1 species